CUGUUACUGGCCCCUACGGACCUUACGGUAAUCAAGGCCCGAAUGCCGUCAUCAUUAACAACAAAUCACCUUCAUCUGGUCCGUCAGCUUCCGCUUCAGCCUCAGCUGCAGCCGCUUCUGGACCACAAGGCCAAAAUAACGGUCCUCUUGGAAACGGACCUGGUAACGGCGCAGGACAAGGCGGAAUAACUGUCAUCAACGAUAACGGCUCUGGUUCAGGUUCUUCAAGCGCAAGCGCAGCAAGCGCUGCAGCUUCUGGUCCUAAUGGAGGAUAUGCUGGCCCAGGUUAUGGUCCUAGUGCAGGUGCUGCAGCAGCCGCUAGUGCAAGUGCAGGACCAGCUGGUGCCUACGGACCUGGAAAUGGUUUAUACGGACCUGGCUACGGCGCAGGGCAAGGA